UAGGGCGUGGCCAAGUGGUAAGGCACCAGUUUUUGGUACUGGCAUUCGGGGGUUCGAAUCCCUCCGCCCUAGCCA
rnacentral:tRNA from 1 species